rnacentral:tRNA from 1 species
GCCUGGGUGGCACAGCGGUUGAGCGUCUGCCUUCAGCUCAGGGCGUGAUCCGGGCGUUGUGGGAUCGAGCCCCACAUCAGGCU